AUUGAACGCUGGCGGCAGGCCUAACACAUGCAAGUCGAGCGGAUGAAGGGAGCUUGCUCCUGGAUUCAGCGGCGGACGGGUGAGUAAUGCCUAGGAAUCUGCCUGGUAGUGGGGGAUAACGUCCGGAAACGGGCGCUAAUACCGCAUACGUCCUGAGGGAGAAAGUGGGGGAUCUUCGGACCUCACGCUAUCAGAUGAGCCUAGGUCGGAUUAGCUAGUUGGUGGGGUAAAGGCCUACCAAGGCGACGAUCCGUAACUGGUCUGAGAGGAUGAUCAGUCACACUGGAACUGAGACACGGUCCAGACUCCUACGGGAGGCAGCAGUGGGGAAUAUUGGACAAUGGGCGAAAGCUUGAUCCAGCCAUGCCGCGUGUGUGAAGAAGGUCUUCGGAUUGUAAAGCACUUAAAGUUGGGAGGAAGGGCAGUAAGUUAAUACCUUGCUGUUUUGACGUUACCAACAGAAUAAGCACCGGCUAACUUCGUG
rnacentral:rRNA from 1 species